AUUGAUUUGCCAGAAGAAGUUAUGGUAUUCAAAGCAAAAUUCAUGAACAACUUUGAACAUCAUAGCAUAAAACACAGUUGCUGAUAAUGGAGAGAAAAAGUUAUAUAUUUAAUAUUGGCAUCAUAGGAGAUAAGUAAGUCCAUACAGCUUAUAUAUUAUAUAUAUAUCAUUUUGUUCAACAAAUCAUUGGAGAUUGAGAUUUUGAAUUGAAGAAUCAAUAGCCAAGAAUUAACCAUAUUAUGAUGGCUUGUUCAUGCAAUACAUUCUUUGUUAAGGCCCAAAGGUUUUUCUUUGUGGAUCAGCUGGCCCUCGGAGAUUUCUCGAUUAUAAAAAGACGGAGCGUUUUAAUCUUUGGUUGUAUUCUAUUUUUAUUUUAUUUUUUUGGGAAAAAAAAACAUUGCAGCUCCUUAUGUACCUAGUUAGAUUUGUUCAUUUGGAAGACUUCUUGGAUGUAAUAAUAACUAAGCUCUAUUUUUAUUGUCAAAGUGCUUCUAUCA
rnacentral:misc_RNA from 1 species